AAAGAAAAAAGAAAAGAAGGAAGGAAGGAAGGAAGGAAGGAAGGAAGGAAGGAAGGAAGGAAGGAAGAGAAAAUAUAAAUGAGAGUCUAAUAUAAGAGAAAGAUCUUGUACCAUCCCAUGCUUCCAAACAAGAGUCUUUGAAAUGUGGCUUUACCAUCUGGUAGACUCUACAAAGUGAAGACAGUGGCAUACGACAGUGUUAAAAUGUCUCAAACAGGAGAAUUAUAAAAGAGAACCCAGAGACUUUUGACCAAUUUCAUGUAAACUUCAGCAAGAAUAUCUUCUGCUGUUGAAAAUAUCUCUGGAACUGCUUUAGGACUUCAGUAGAAACUAAAUAUCUAACCAUUUGGAAAUUAUAUGACCAUGUUACUCAAGGUGCUCACCACAAGGUAAUGCUAAUUAAUCUAAUCAACAUUUCCAUAAUGUCAGUAAGUCCUAUAACACUGAAUCAAAAAUUAUAAAAAGGACAUGACUUGUAUAAGGUUUGAAAGCAUGAAUGUUUCAUGUGUGCAAGUUUGCUAUCUAAUAUGUAUACCCCUGAAAAGUGGUAUGCUUCAUGGUGAACUUACAUUGAUGACUCAAAUCCAUGAUAAAGAUGAUGAAAUUGAGAGGUCUUUUUAAUUACGGCUGGAUGAGUAUGCUGGAUACUUAUUCUAAAUUUGAUCUUCUUUCCUUCACAGUCGUGGUUUUACAGAGUGAUUGGAUGUCACUCUAGGAUGCGGUAUCUGUCCUGAUUUGGUGACCUGCAUUUGGCACUUUAUCUCCUGUAAUCAGUGCGUGGGUUAACAUUCUUAGUUUCAGACAAUAGAACUCUGCAGGUAUUUUGAUAAAAAGAUUAUUACAGUUUAUGAACAGGCAGUUUACAAAAUCAUUUAAGAGCUAGCGAAACCAGAUCCUACUAGCAACAACUUCCAGAAGCAUACUGAUCACUCAACUGGAAAGUCAGUAGCUGCCAUUGCUGCCACCAGACCCAGAUAUCACUGCUGUCACCCCAAUAACAAAAUUGAUUUUAUAUGUUCUGAAUGUUCCUCAUGUAUUAACUUCCAUAUUAUGGUAUUCUAGAGGUGAGAAAAGCUUUGAAAUAUAAUUUUAUUACUAUUUUGAUUCUAUAUGUGAAGAGUAGAAUUUAUACUAUGGUAAGCUAUCAAAAUACAGGAAUCUGAUUUUCAGAUUUUGUUUUCCAAAUGCCAUUUUCCAUUAAAAGGAUCUAGGUCUCCUUGAAGAAAUAGCUAAUGCUAGGGCCUGGAUAGGAAAUAUAUAAGAGUCUGGAACAUCUUGUAAUGCCAGAAAGUGAAGGAAGUACAAGGAGAAGGGAAGAAGAGGAAGGAAUGGGAGAACACAGGGAUCACCUGAAAGCACUCUCAAUAGACAAGCAGAAAAUAUUUGAGUAAAAAUUUAAAUAAUGUAGUAUUGGAUUAAAACUCAAAUUAUGAAAUAAACAUACGUGAAUCCAACAUGACACUGAAUAAAUAAAGAGAAAAUCUUUCUUAGAGAAAAGUUCUAAAUAUUAUGUGUCAUCACUUCACCCUUCUCAAGAGGAGGAGCUUAAUUCUCCUGUUCUUGAUUGUGGGUUGAACUUAAUAAUUUACUUACAAAUGAUAGAGUAUGCGAAAAGGAAAAUAGUAAAGUGAAGAAAGCUGGCAAACACUACUUUAAUCAAGUGAUCAAGGUUGGCAUCACCAGUAAUAAGUCAUAUUGAUAUCAUGAAGCAUCAUGAAAAAAAAACAUCAGACAAACCCAGUUGAGGGGAUAUUUUAAAUACUGACCAAUAUCCUUCAAACCUGUCAAAACUGUAAGAAACAAGUAAAGACUGAGAAACUGCAAUAGGACAGAAAAGGCUACAGAGACAUGAUGACUAAGUGUAAUACGGUAUCCUGGAUUGGAUUAUGGAACAGUAAAAUGAAAAUAGUAGGAAUCUUGGUAAAAUGUAUAGUUCAGCUGACAGUAAUGCACUAAUGAUAAUGUUCCAGUUUUGACAAAAGUUCCAUGAGUAUGUAAUAUGUUAACAUUGGGAGAAUCUGUUUGUAGGCUAUAAAGAACUCUGUAUAUCUUUCAAAUUUGCUUUAAAACUAAAAGAAUUUUAAAAGAAAUCUUUUUUUUUAACAUAGACAUGGUCUUCCAAAGAUUUUAUGCUGCCAUAGUAUUUCUUCAAUAUGAAGGAUACAAAGAAUAGAGAAUAUGGUUUGAAGGGAAAGUUUCCAGACACCAAAAGAAGCAGGUCAAUGCUGCGUGACCCUGAGCAAAGAACUCAACUUCUCUGUUUCUUAAUUCCUAGAUGUGUAAAUGGAGAUAAUAACACCUACCCCAAAGGUGUCGCAGAGGAAAGGCUACCUGAGGACACAGCAAGAAUGCAAUCAUCUGCAAGCAGGAAAGACAGCCCUCACAAGGAACCAGAUCAGUUGGCACCUUGAUCAUGGACUUUUAGACACCAUAACUGUGAAAAAACAAAUUUCUGUUGACUAAGGUCUGGUGCAAAAUUUCCACAUGGUUCAGAAUACUACUAGAUGUGAAUACUAAAGCCUUAAGUUAUCACACUAUUGGAUAAUAUUUAUGAGACUACCUAAAGUUUGUGAGAAGACAGCAAGUUAUGUCAAAUGUGGGAUUCCUAUCAAUUUUUAUCUAGCUACGGGACACUUUACAAGCCAUUUGCCGAGCUUGCACAUUUGAAGCAGCAUCUCAUUAGGUAAACUGCCAGUACUAAUAUUCUCUAUUUAUUUGUUAUAAGCAUUUGCAUCAGUAGUAGAUAGUAACUCAUUUUGAUUUUUGUGUUUAAAGGUUUGGCAGAUGAAAUAAAAUGAACAAGGAGGGUAUCAGACAUAAAAUUUAGUAUUUAUCAUAAACUCAGAAAAUCUUGAAUAUCAUGUUGGCAACUUUGAGACUUUUAUUAACUUAUGACACAAUUAUGACAUUGCUCUUCAAAUGUUCUGUCUUUUAAGAUAUAACUUAGACGUGAUUGGAAGUUAAAAAUAUUCUCCCUUUGAAAUUCAAGUUGACCUGAAAGAAACCAAAAACAUUUUCCAUAUACCUUGCCUCCCAUUACAUUUGCCCCAUUUCUGUAUAAUUUUUAGUUAAAGUUAUGCAAGAGAAUCAGAUCGAAUUUAAAAUAAUAGAUAACUAUGUCUUUAUGCAAAAUCACUUUUGUGUUACAGUAGUUAUAUGUAAUUCGAAUCUUGUUCUUUGCUUAGAUAUGAAAUAAUUGAAAUUGUAGAUAAUGGGAAGAAUUUCUUAUGAGUUCCUUUUACAUAUGUUUAAUUGAUAUAUGAGUCUAAACCUAAAACACUCCAUGAAGUAAUGAGAUGAUUUUCCACUCAUUUUUAACGAUCAUACUUUUCCUUUUCCAAAAUAGAAUUCAAAGGUCUGCAAUAAUACUGUAUGCUAAUUAACUGAAAUUAUUUUUUUUUAAUUUUAAAAAUAAAAAAAUUAAAAGGUUUUUGAAAAUUGAACAAAACAUUUAGUGUUCCUUAAAAUGAAUGUAUCAGAGGGUGCCUGGGUAGCUCAGUCAGUUAAGGUUCCAACUUUGGCUCAGGUCAUGAUCUUAUGAUUCAUGAGUUCAAGCCCAAUAUUGGGCUCUCUGCUGUCAGGAGACAU